AAGUCGUAACAAGGUUUGCCUACACUAAGAUCCUUCCCUAGGGGGAAACUUACUGAAGCCUUUGCAACCCCGUAAGGGGUGGAUACGCGACUCUAUAUAAGGUGCCCGUAUGCAAGUCAGACGCUCGUCUGGCAACAUAACCGAAUUGUCGGGGGAAGCCCUAAAGCCCACAACACCAACCUAGACGGGAAACCGUGUAGGGGCCGAUACUAAUAACAUCGGAGGUAAUAGCGUGUGGGAUGAACAAUGGGUGAUCCGCAGCGAAGGCCCUAAGUGCUUCGGCAUAUGGGACACGUCCACAGACUAAGUGGUUAUGGGUAGCUCACCGGUUCGGUGGCUGCUUCAGAUAUAGUCGGGUCCGCAACGAAACUUGCGGGGUAUUAUAACCGUUCCGUAGGUGAACCUGCGGAAGGAUCAUUAAGGAGUACUUGCGGGAAAUCGAAAGAUAGUACCGCUCUCCCACCCGUGACUAUAUACUAUGUUGCUUUCCGGGCUUCAUCGCCCGGAGAGGACCAAACUCUUGAAUUUAUUACUGUCUGAGUACUAUAUAAUAGUUAAAA
rnacentral:misc_RNA from 1 species